rnacentral:piRNA from 1 species
UGGAAGUUUAUGUGGAGGCAACCUUUUG